UACGUAGGCUGCAAAGUAAGUCGUGCGUGAAAGGCAGGGGCUCAACCUCUGGAGUGCGCGUGAUACUGCUUUGCUAGAGUAAUGGAGGGGGAACUGGAAUUCUUGGUGUAGCAGUGAAAUGCGUAGAUAUCAAGAAGAAGACUCGUGGCGAAGGCGAGUUCCUGGACAUUUACUGACGCUGAGGUACGAAGGCUAGGGUAGCGAAAG
rnacentral:rRNA from 1 species